GAUACCACCUGCUUCAUAUCAGUUGUGGUUAUAUUUUCACCAGUAACAGUACCCCAAGUGAAGGAUCCCUAACAUCACAGGUAGUGGAAUAUCCCAAAUCUUGAAUCAAUUGGCGGCAAUCGAAAUCACUAUUUUAGAUAGCGGUAACAUGCUCAUUCAUUAAAAAAGAUACCUUCCCGGCCCAACCACUGGCCACUGCGAUUGCGAUCAAUACUAAUUUGAACGGGAUCCUCAUCAUUUUUAUGUGCUAGUCACUUUUGGCAACUACUCUGUCUGAAUUGUUUUGUUUGGAGAUAUUUUGGCUUUUUAUCUGGAUUGGGGAAACCCAUGUGUCUGAACCAUUGACACGAUAUUGACGUAGGAACGAGAAGCCAUGAUUAUUCCUCUCUACCUACAGAAACUAUCGGUGUU